AAAAUUACAAUCCCUGACUCAUUCAACGCCGUUCUUCCUUCUAGCUAGGGCUUCUAUCCUCUCUGAACAUACAACACUCUCAUUUCCUCAGUGUAAAGAAGCUCUCCGACAACGCCUUCUUCCUUCUAGGGCUUCUCCUCUCUCCGCUGGUUACGAUCUCUCCAGCUCUGUUAGGGAUUUUUGGGUCUUCCGUUGAAGCAUUGGAUUGACGUUGGUGCGGGGGUGAUUGACGACGAUCUCAGGUCUUCUUUCGCUUACUUCUAUUAACAAUUCUGCACUCAAGGUUCAUAUCUUCUUCAUUAUUAGGAGGACUUUGAUGAAUUCAGCGAUGUUGAUGAACUAUACAGCUCAUUGCCUUUAGAUAAGAUCUUGUUACAAUCCCCCCUGGGCUAUCUAAGGUAUUUGUUUGCUCACGAUUGUUUUGUUGCAAGUAUACAAGGGAUCAUUCAGUAAUACAUAUUGAAGCAUAUGUAGAUUCAAUUUACCACAUUGGGUCAUUGAUUAAUUUUUCACGUUGGCAAAUUUUGCUGGAUUCCUUGCUGGGCUAUGCAGUUUAUGAUGGUAAUGUAUUAUAGAAGUCUAACAUUUAAUUGAUGGGUGAUGCGGAUUUUAAUUUCGGAAAUGGUUAACUCUUUACAAG